rnacentral:rRNA from 1 species
AGUGAACGCUGGCGGUAGGCCUAACACAUGCAAGUCGAACGGCAGCACAGUAAGAGCUUGCUCUUACGGGUGGCGAGUGGCGGACGGGUGAGGAAUACAUCGGAAUCUACUUUUUCGUGGGGGAUAACGUAGGGAAACUUACGCUAAUACCGCAUACGACCUACGGGUGAAAGCAGUGGAUCUUCGGACCUUGCGCGAUUGAAUGAGCCGAUGUCGGAUUAGCUAGUUGGCGGGGUAAAGGCCCACCAAGGCGACGACCCGUAGCUGGUCUGAGAGGAUGAUCAGCCACACUGGAACUGAGACACGGUCCAGACUCCUACGGGAGGCAGCAGUGGGGAAUAUUGGACAAUGGGCGCAAGCCUGAUCCAGCCACACCGCGUGGGUGAAGAAGGCCUUCGGGUUGUAAAGCCCUUUUGUUGGGAAAGAAAAGCAGCAGGUUAAUACCCCGCUGUUCUGACGGUACCCAAAGAAUAAGCACCGGCUAACUUCGUG